rnacentral:lncRNA from 1 species
UUAGGGUUUAUGGUUUAUGGUUUAGAGUUUAGGGUUUAGGGUUUAGGGUUUAGAGUUUAGGGUUUAGGGUUUAUGGUUUAGAGUUUAUGGUUUAGGGUUUAAAGUUGAGAAAUGAGGUUUUCGGGAUAAGAUUUCAAAUUUUGAAAAAUAAUAAAAUUAAAAUUUUCAAAGGAUAAACUUAGAAAUGUGCUAUUUUGGUCAUUUUAGUUUUUGAAUGCUAUUUUUGUGAUAUAAACUUAGAAAUGUGCUAUUUUGGAGAUUUGCACUU